rnacentral:rRNA from 1 species
UACGAAGGGGGCUAGCGUUGCUCGGAAUCACUGGGCGUAAAGGGUGCGUAGGCGGGUCUUUAAGUCAGGGGUGAAAUCCUGGAGCUCAACUCCAGAACUGCCUUUGAUACUGAAGAUCUUGAGUUCGGGAGAGGUGAGUGGAACUGCGAGUGUAGAGGUGAAAUUCGUAGAUAUUGGGAAGAACACCAGUGGCGAAGGCGGCUAACUGGUCCAGAUCUGACGCUGAGGUGCAAAAGCGUGGGGAGCAAACAGG